rnacentral:siRNA from 1 species
GAAGCCGCGUGCUCCUCCGCCUGA